AGUCGAACGGUAACAGGAAGMAGCUUGCUKCUUUGCUGACGAGUGGCGGACGGGUGAGUAAUGUCUGGGAAACUGCCUGAUGGAGGGGGAUAACUACUGGAAACGGUAGCUAAUACCGCAUAACGUCGCAAGACCAAAGAGGGGGACCUUCGGGCCUCUUGCCAUCGGAUGUGCCCAGAUGGGAUUAGCUAGUAGGUGGGGUAACGGCUCACCUAGGCGACGAUCCCUAGCUGGUCUGAGAGGAUGACCAGCCACACUGGAACUGAGACACGGUCCAGACUCCUACGGGAGGCAGCAGUGGGGAAUAUUGCACAAUGGGCGCAAGCCUGAUGCAGCCAUGCCGCGUGUAUGAAGAAGGCCUUCGGGUUGUAAAGUACUUUCAGCGGGGAGGAAGGGAGUAAAGUUAAUACCUUUGCUCAUUGACGUUACCCGCAGAAGAAGCACCGGCUAACUCCGUGCCAGCAGCCGCGGUAAUACGGAGGGUGCAAGCGUUAAUCGGAAUUACUGGGCGUAAAGCGCACGCAGGCGGUUUGUUAAGUCAGAUGUGAAAUCCCCGGGCUCAACCUGGGAACUGCAUCUGAUACUGGCAAGCUUGAGUCUCGUAGAGGGGGGUAGAAUUCCAGGUGUAGCGGUGAAAUGCGUAGAGAUCUGGAGGAAUACCGGUGGCGAAGGCGGCCCCCUGGACGAAGACUGACGCUCAGGUGCGAAAGCGUGGGGAGCAAACAGGAUUAGAUACCCUGGUAGUCCACGCCGUAAACGAUGUCGACUUGGAGGUUGUGCCCUUGAGGCGUGGCUUCCGGAGCUAACGCGUUAAGUCGACCGCCUGGGGAGUACGGCCGCAAGGUUAAAACUCAAAUGAAUUGACGGGGGCCCGCACAAGCGGUGGAGCAUGUGGUUUAAUUCGAUGCAACGCGAAGAACCUUACCUGGUCUUGACAUCCACGGAAGUUUUCAGAGAUGAGAAUGUGCCUUCGGGAACCGUGAGACAGGUGCUGCAUGGCUGUCGUCAGCUCGUGUUGUGAAAUGUUGGGUUAAGUCCCGCAACGAGCGCAACCCUUAUCCUUUGUUGCCAGCGGUCCGGCCGGGAACUCAAAGGGACUGCCAGUGAUAACCUGGAGGAAG
rnacentral:rRNA from 1 species